rnacentral:rRNA from 1 species
AUUGAACGCUGGCGGCAGGCUUAACACAUGCAAGUCGAGCGAGCGGCGGACGGGUGAGUAAUGUCUGGGAAACUGCCUGAUGGAGGGGGAUAACUACUGGAAAAGGUAGCUAAUACCGCAUACCAUCAGAUGUGCCCAUAGGGGAUUAGCUAGUAGGUGGGGGAAUGGCUCACGUAGGCGACGAUCUCUAGCUGGUCUGAGAGGAUGAACAGCCACACUGGAACGGAGACACGGUCCAGACUCCUACGGGAGGCAGCAGUGGGGAAUAUUGCACAAUGGGCGCAAGCCUGAUACAGCCAUGCCGCGUGUGUGAAGAAGGCCUUCGGGUUGUAAAGCACUUUCAGCGAGGAGGCGUUACUCGCAGAAGAAGCACCGGCUAACUCCGUGCCAGCAGCCGCGGUAAUUC